rnacentral:rRNA from 1 species
GUGAGGAAUAUUGGACAAUGGGCGCAAGCCUGAUCCAGCCAUGCCGCGUGCAGGAAGACGCAUCUAUGGUGUGUAAACUGCUUUUGUACGGGAAGAAACACUCCCUCGUGAGGGAGCUUGACGGUACCGUAAGAAUAAGGAUCGGCUAACUCCGUGCCAGCAGCCGCGGUAAUACGGAGGAUCCAAGCGUUAUCCGGAAUCAUUGGGUUUAAAGGGUCCGUAGGCGGUUUAAUAAGUCAGUGGUGAAAGCCCAUCGCUCAACGAUGGAACGGCCAUUGAUACUGUUAGACUUGAAUUACAAGGAAGUAACUAGAAUAUGUAGUGUAGCGGUGAAAUGCUUAGAUAUUACAUGGAAUACCAAUUGCGAAGGCAGGUUACUAAGCUACAACUGACACUGAAGCACGAAAGCGUGGGGAUCAAACAGGAUUAGAUACCCUGGUAGUCC